GCGUACAGCAGUGGAGUAAUGUUGUUGUGGGACCCUUUGUAGUUGUUGGAGGUGGGAGCGGUACAAAUAACCCGAAGAUCUAGUGCGGCUACGUAAUCGACUGUUUUACCCGGUAUGGAACUGUCAACUAUCAACCAAUCAGCCAACGUGAAUAGAUCCCAAAACCAGUGGCCUCUUCAAUGGUGUUUGAGAUGAUUCAAAGCAGCGAAUGUUGAUCUUGUCAAAUGAAGUGUGAAAAUUAUUUUACUGAAUGUGAUUUGAUAUAAAAUUUCUCAUGUUGUAAAUUCUAGCUAAGAGAAUUGAUUUUGUCACUUGAAAUAAAUAAAGGUAAAUGCAUUUUGUUUCAUGACUUUGUACAAGAAGUAUUGAUCAUUUAUUAAAUAACAAUUUUGAAAUCUUACACUUGCUUAACAUUUUUAAAACCCUCUUUAGAACAAACAAAUUGAACAAUGGAACAUCCUAUUUGUCUGCUUGCUUUCACUUAUUUGCAAAAUACUUUGAACAUUAGCUUUCUGGUAAUCUUGGGGUAACUAAAACAUGACGAGUUUGAACCACAC